rnacentral:rRNA from 1 species
UACACUCCUGCGGGAGGCAGCAGUGAGGAAUAUUGGACAAUGGGUGGAAGCCUGAUCCAGCCAUCCCGCGUGCAGGAAGACGGCCCUAUGGGUUGUAAACUGCUUUUAUCUGGGGAUAAACCUACUUACGUGUAAGUAGCUGAAGGUACCAGAAGAAUAAGCACCGGCUAACUCCGUGCCAGCAGCCGCGGUAAUACGGAGGGUGCAAGCGUUAUCCGGAUUUAUUGGGUUUAAAGGGUCCGUAGGCGGACUGAUAAGUCAGUGGUGAAAUCCGACAGCUUAACUGUCGAACUGCCAUUGAUACUGUUAGUCUUGAGUAAGGUUGAAGUGGCUGGAAUAAGUAGUGUAGCGGUGAAAUGCAUAGAUAUUACUUAGAACACCAAUUGCGAAGGCAGGUCACUAAGUCUUAACUGACGCUGAUGGACGAAAGCGUGGGGAGCGAACAGGAUUAGAAACCCCUGUAGUCCCAUG